UCCUAGCGGACCCUUGACGCAACCACUGCUCCGCCUUUCUCCUUCUCUGUUCUCUCGCUUCCUUACUUUUCUUGUUUUCGUUGGUUCUUCUCCGGCGCGCACCAGCGUUUCAACCAGCGGUGCGGAGGGGGGGGGCUGUGCUUGACCUUCAACGUUCCUUUCAUAUUCGUUUUCGGCUUCUUGGCCAACUGUCCUUUUCCCCCUCUUCCCCCUCUUCCCCCUCGGCCCUCACGCCCGACAUUCAUCGCCGGCUCACGCAUCUCCACUCGUUCGUCCACCGUCUGCGUUCCCGUCCAUUUCGUACACUAUUUCUCUCCUCGUUUUCCCCGCUUGUCUCUCUCGCGCUGCUGACAAGAUGCGCUGCGCUCUCGUCUUCGUGCUGGUCGCGGCGGCGCUCGCGUGCCUUGCACCGGCAAUGACGCAUGCCUACUCGACAACGUAUGCCGCGCGCAGCGCCGGCAGUGGUGCCUUUGCCUUCGAUCCCCUAGAAAUCGAUUUCUGCAAGUUGCAGGACGCGGCGUCGCACACGGCCAUGUCGACCUCCGCCUCUAUUCAAGAGGCUCUCCAGAGCGCCUAUCAACGCGAGGGCAUUAGCGGCAACAUCCCCCUUGGCGGCAUGACGGAGCAGGCGGUGUGCGCGGGAACCCAGUGCGAGUGGCGGUGGUACCGCGGGCUCUUCCGCACCACCCGCCCGCUGUUCCUGCGCGGUGUCAACUACUGGGGCGUAAACGAUGACUCGACUCCAGUGGACAGGACCACUGCUGUGCCGGGCUCCUACACCAAUUUCGAGACCAACUACCCGCGUUCCUGGGGAAACUUGAGCUACUGGGGUAAGCGCCUGGUCGUUAUGCAGCCCUCCGGGAAGUGGGUGAACACGGAGGUGUCCACGUCAUUUACGCAUUUUCUCUGCGAGUACUACGUCUACGCCGACUCCGAUGGCGUGAAUCGGCUUGUGCCCACCUUCCCGGGCGGCAGCGCCAUUCCCUUCGUUAGCAGCUCCGGCCACACGUACACGUACUGCGGCAAAAAGGUCGAGGUAGACUCGCAGAGCCGCUGGAUCCUCCCGAAGUGCAACGAAACGUUCCCAUGGUGGGGCAGCCUCGUCAUCGCCGUCGUGCUCUAUAUCAUCCUGAUUGCUCUCAUCAUUAGCAUCUGGUGCUGCUGCUGCAUCCGCCGCCGCAACAAAGAGGAGAAGCGCCGCCGUAAUAUCAUCGGAUCCCAGUAUGACAACCAGGGCGCUAUUCCCACUCAGUCGGAGCUCGGGCUGAGCCGUCGCAACUCUUUCCGAGGCACCAGCAUAUACAACUCCUACGACGACUCCGACUCCGAUGCAGAUGCGUACUCCUCGCGCGAGUAGACGGGGGGGGGAGAGGCAAACAAGAGAAGAAUAGCACAUCAGUGACCAAGCGACUCUGCAGAGACAUCACCUCUGCCGCCUUGCUUCCCUUGCCCUUCUCACCUCUCUCCAGUCGGCCCGCUACUGCUGACGUGCGCUCACGUCGACCACAUCGCCCCAUUUUCUCUUUGCGCGAACUGAAUCGCGACUUUGCACCCGAAUAUGUGGCUGUCCGUGCGUCUGUGCGUUGCCCUGUUCUCCGUAGAACGCACACGCUGAACACAAAAGCAUUUUUUCUUUGCGUUGGGCUGCACAGCUUCUAGUUACUGUUCUUCGUCCACUUCACACCGUCUUCCGGCGUUUUCACGUUUCAGCUCUCUUCUUCCGCUCCCCUUGCUUUCCCCCCUCCCCCGACAUCUAUGUGUAUGUGUGUGUGUGUGCCUUUGCGCGAGAGAGCGAGAGCGCGCGUAUGCUUCAAGUAUGCACUGCCCUCUCCCCCCUUCUCUCUUUUUCUGUGACCUUUAGCUGUGCCCCUCCCUCUCUUGCUGCAUAUUUUUCUUGUGUCUGCCUUAUGUGUGUUGCCUCUCCUCUGCACUCUCUCCUUCCGUCGGUCUCUUUCCUUUCUUUCUGCUCUCUCUGUCUCUCGCUCUCUUUGGAUCUGGGGUGCACAGCACAGCGACGCAGCAGCGAAAGGAGCAUGGAAAAGAAAGACGACGGUGACAGAUAGAGAGAGACAGACAGAGGAAACGGCGGUAGCGAGCAGAACGGCGCUGCUUGUCAUGCCUCUGAUCUCUCUUGUAACCUUGUUUCCCUCGUUGUGCUCCAUUUUCGGUUCGCAACAUCCAUCCGUGGUCUGUUUCAUGUAAUCCGUCUCUCUUUCUCCUCCUCCCGUGUGCGUCUCUGCCCAUCUCAUUCUGUACUGUCUGUUUUCGUUUCUGAAUCCCUUGCCCCUUUCGCCCUACUUUUCCGCUACCUAACAGUGUCGUCUCCAUCGCGUGGUGCGCCGCCCCCUUUAGCGUCAUGUCUUGGCGACGGUCAGGCUUUGUUGAGUUGAUUGGCGGCACUACUUCGCUUUUCCUCCUCCAUCGCUGACUGCCAUGCCUAUGCGCGAUUUAGCCGAGGGCGACUCUGUCCCUUCUUUUUUCCUUUCCCUUCGUUGACCAACGAUGAGGCUGCUGCUGGUGAUGCAGUCACGAGCGCGGAGACCUUCGCAUUCAACGCACAGCGACGUGCUGUCUUUUGUUUUGCUCUUCUCUUUCUCGUGACUCCGUCUUCCCGCUGCUCUCUCUUUGCUUAUGUGUCUGCCGUCACAUGCACGCUUAUUUUUAUUUUUAUUUUUACUGGCCUCCAUGUCUAACAGCUUCAUUGAACGUGUCGACAUCACCGCGAAUGCCACUGCAGGCUCGGCGUCGGCUCACGUGCUUGCACUGCUGCCCCCCCCCCCCCCCCCCCCCCCUUGUGGGCGUGCCCCCGCUGUACAUGGAUGGGGUGAGCGCCGGCGGCCUCGGAAGGUGCCACGAGCACCAAAGCAGCAGCACACACACACACACAUACGCAUUAUGUGAACAGCUCAGCAGUAACGCGGGGAACGUUUUAUGAGCAACGACGACACAGCACAGACACACACACACGCACACACACCAAAAAAAAACUCGAUAAACAUACCGGUAGAAGACAACAUUCCAUGACGGCGGAUGGCAAAGAUACGCGACAAAAGUAAAAGAGCCGAGAAAGAAAAAAAGCGAACAAUGGAAGACAACCGUGAGAGGGUGGCCACAUGUGUGCGUGCGUGCAAUCGCUGCAGUGACAACGAG
rnacentral:misc_RNA from 1 species